UUGUAUUGAAAUAACUUACCAGAGGAGAACACCUGAGAUUUUUGGGAUCAUAGGCAUAAAUCAUAUCUUCAAAAUGUUAGAGUAGAAUACACAUAAGGAAUGUUGGGUUCACUAUAGCUCUAUAUGGAGGCUAUCAUCCCACUUAGGCCACCUUUAUCAUCUCUAUAUAUUAAUAUAAGAGUCGUACAUCAUUUAUUUCUCCUUAUACACUUCAGGCUCAGCUUGCCAAUUAUGUGGAACCAUUUGACGCCCUACCUAGGUGAUACCUCCCUAAUCCAUAAAAUCAUACAAUAACUGCAACAUGUUAGCAAAUAAGCAUGAUAUGCAUGUACCCAUAUAAGCAAUUGAGCAGCAAAAAGGACUUUAAUUUAUUUUAAGCAGAUGUAUUACUUAUAAAGUAGUAAAAUAUAGGAAUAUGUAUCAAUAUGCAAGUAAUCUCUAACAACCUAUCAAACAUGAACAUAUGAAUCAUAAAUAACAUGUGAGUUAAAAAAAAUUAACAUGUGAACAGAUGAAGUAUAGCACGAAAUCUGUUAUUUGAUCAUAUAGAAAAGUAUAAUCUUAAUAUCUAAUACCUGGGUUUUAGGAUGUAAAAGUACAUAACGAGCAGGUAGGCUAAUCACAAUACCUAAUGUCGAUUUUUUAUUUUUAUUUUUUUUACACGUAAAUAAAUAGUCGUAUAUUAUACAAAUAAAUAGGCCAUUGAUAUUUUUAAAUGCAUACCCUGUAAAACAGAUGAUACUAAAAUAACUAUACCUUGAUUAAGGUGACAUAUUAAGCAAAUGAUUACCCAACCUAUAAGCUAUAGAUUAUAAUAUGUGAUCUCUCUCUCUCUCUCUCUCUAGUGUUUGAUGCAUAAAUCUUAAAAAAUCUUGAUUUACUUCCUUGCAUCCUGGCAAAAUCAAGCUCUCAUUUACAUUUGGAAUAAUCCUGAGGGAACACCAACACUAAAUGAUUUCAUUUGGUGUCACUAUUGUCCCAUACAUACUAAGUUACAAAUUUUUCAAUAACAAUACCAGUGUUCAGACAAAAUUAACCAACAUUGCUAUAUGUUGUCUCCUAAUAUUCACCAGGAACCCAAGCCAGAAAUUAUUAUUGCACAGUUCAGAUUAGAAUACACUACUAAUAUUAAGAAUAUUUUUCUUGUUGACAAACUUUGUUUUACCUUCAAGGAAAAAAACUUUCAAAACUUGUGCUUCAGAAAACAUAACAUCUAAAGUCCAACGAAAUAUAUAUCUGUAGAUAUUGAGGCACAAACUCACCAUCUUAAUAAGCAACCUUAAAUUUGAUAUUGCCUUCAAGUAGAAGACAAAAAAAAAAUAACUCCUAUUCUAGCAACAUCCAAGUAUCUAAAAUGAAAUCAAAGGGAAAAGAUGUAGGCAUAGAUAGGGGCCCUGUCACACCGCAUAAAUAUUCUGUAGAUAACAAACUAUUCACCCAUAAUGCAAUGGAGCCAUAUGACUAUGUUUCAUAGUGGAACAACAUACUCUGAAUGAGCUGUUUGCAACUAGAAAGCACAUAUCGAACAGGAACAAGAGGAUUUCCUUCGAAAAAUGAAGCACAAUAAGAGCCAACCUCCUUUGUCUACGACAAUUCCUAUACUGAGAUUGUAGACCAGAAAAAGGACUGGUAAAAUAAUAUCUACAAACACUAUGAAUUUCCAGCGAGCCAAGGAAGGAUAUAGGUAAUUACAAUAAUAUGCAUAAAUAUAACGUUUAGGUAUUGAUUAUGAACAUUCUAAAAAAGUUGGAUAUAGGAACUUUCUAAGUUUGUCAUUCAUGAUGUUCCACCAACAGGAACAGAUUGUAAUAUUUUUGUCAGAAUAUCCCACUACUGCAGGAAAAAUUAAUAUCAAAUUUACUCCUCAAAAUGCUAGAUGGAGGAUAUUUAGAAUCUCUAGGAUCAGAAAAACUAUUAAGCAGCUCUUAAAGGACUAAAAAGAUAGAGACCAGUCUUCCACAAUAAUGUGACAACCACAUACACAACACCAAACUACAAGUCCACAUCAUCAUACCACAUACAAAUAUAAAUGCUUAUAACAUUUAAAGGAGAUUACGUGUAUCAUUGUAGAAACAAGAGUUCAUCUAUCUGGCUACCUAUUAUAUUGUCACAAUAAUAAACAGGAAAGAAUAAAAACUAUUGGCUAGUUACGCCAUUGAAUAUAUAUAAUCUCGCAAGCAAAUUAACUAUUAUACAUACAUAUUGAAUUCAUGGCAACCCAGUUUUGUUGGCAUCUAGUUCUUUUAUAAACUAUGAGGAUUUUCAGGAAGUCAUCUAAGCAUAAUUUACAUGCGAGCAUAUUCCUGCUAAUUCAAAAUAAUGCUACAACUAUUCCUAUCCAUAUCUCCCUAUUUUUUUUUCAGACUCUAAGUAACCAGGUUAGUUUUUUUUUCUAAAGUCAGGCUAUGAUCAGUAAGCUUAUGACGAGCAUGUUCAGGUAAAUACAUAUAUUCCAACCCUUCAUUCGGAAAGAAAUCCAUAAAUUUCAGCAAUAUCCAAUAAGUAGCUAGUUAGGCUGCAAAGACACCUAACAAAUAAGUGCAGCCAUGAGAAAUCAAGAGAACAUAUAAUUGUUGUAUCUUAAAACAUCAGUAAUCCACUAUUGGCAAUUUAUACCUCUCCAGGUAUAUUCUUAUCCUCCAAUGCUGGUGCACUCUUAAAAUCGUACUAGAUCAAUGUAUCCCUCAUCGAGAGGGCCUACUAAUUGACUACCAACUGCCACUAUUGUAUAGAAAAGGUACCAAACCUCAAAGUAAUACUAACAUUGUUUCUUACGACAUGUCACCACAACCCUUUAAGGUUAAUUGAUCAUAUUUCUAUAAUUUUUUUUCUCCGUAAAAGUCAUACCCUAACUAGGUGCGCUAUUCCAUGUAUAUACGUAAUCUAAGAUGUUCAAACAAUAGUUUACCAUUCUUCACAUGUCAGAAAAUUUCUUCUUAUAAUCAAUUAACCAAUACUAUGUCUUGAUCUAUUCUUGGUACAAAUGAUAACUCUUAGUCUAUGUCCAACUCGUCGAUAUUUUCAGCUCUAAUCUUUGAUCGCACAUUAUUGCUAUUUUAUUUUUGAAACAAAUCACAACGGAUAAUUCCUACUCAUAUAUUCCUAUAAAAUGAUAACAACACUUAUCCCUGAGCUUGCUAGCCUUACAAGGAUUCAAACACAUAGGUCAUUUCCUACUAAACAUAAUCAAAUAAACGUAUCCUACGGAGAUGAUCUACGUACUUGCUGAAAAAAUGUAUUAUAAAGCAUCUAUGCAUAGUUGACCAACUAGGGAUACUCUUAAUUAGCACUGGUGAGAUAUAUUUACCUGACAUUCAAAACUACCAGUGUACCUUAAACUCAUAAAGACCCAAUUGAUUACCUCUACUCUAAAAUUGGACAUUAACCUAAAGCUUAUGGUAUAUUAUCGAGGAAUUAUUGAAUAUCCUCCAUGUACUUAAAUCCUGUAAGUACUAAAAGGAUCACACGGAGAAGACUUCAAACUUUAAAAUCCUCUAAAUCUUUUUGUAAUAUUAUAUUGGGAUAUGCCACUUUCUAUCUACGUAGUUAAACAAUCCUUAACUAAAAAGUCAUAUGAGAUAUCCCCCCAUAGGUCCUACUAUAAAAACCAACACCAAUACAAUUAUAAUGGUAAAGUUAUCCUGGAUAUCAAUAUAUCUUUAUUCUAUAAGCAAGUGCGAACUAGAAGGGUCAAACACACCAAGCUGUCUCGAAUCUUAGUUCAAGUUUUGUGGUUGAGCUUUUGGCUGUAAACUUACUUUUGGAAUACUAGUAUUUGGCCAAUUGGCCUGACUUGAGGUUACCUUUAAAAGAAAAAAUUCGUAGGAAGUAGAAUAGGAAUUAGAAAUAAGUCUUUAUUAGUUAGCUUGGUCGCACGAUCUAGAUCAUAAAAUAAGGUCAAAAAUCCUAAAUGCCUAAGCAGCUCCCCCAUUAUAAAUGUGGUGCACAACACAUCCAUAAGUGGGGAUCUACUAGACACAGCUUCGUAGACUCCCUAGGACACCUUAAACCUAAGACUCUGAUACCACUUUUGUCACGCCCCUAACCUAAUUGGGACAGACAAGAACCAUAUGACCAUGAGUACUGUGGCUGACAUAUAUAUUAUGCGGAAGGGUUACUACUCAUGACCAAUGAUAAGAGGGUAUGUACAAAUCAAUUCUAUCUUAUUGAACACUCAUCCGAUACAAAUAUGUGAAACUAUGACUACAGAGCUUUUAAUAAAAAUUAUGACUGUACUAGGAAAUGUGGAUGGGGCAGGGCUCCUAUAUACCGAUACUAUAUCUAGAAACAUAAUUAAAUAGUACUCGACCUGUAUUAGCCCUAGGUAAAAUAGGAGCUUACCGACUGCUUUGCUGAAUACGAACAAGUGCCUAGUAUAGAAGUCUACUCAUCAAUAGACCUUAUCCUGUAUUUUUACAGAAAUGCAGUGCCCCCGAAUGUAGGGAUGUUUUAGUACAUAUAAAAUAUGUACUAGUAUGUAAAGCAAACAGAAUAACAAGUAGAUGUAUAAGGAUGCUCAAUGAAUCAAAUAACAAAAUGGGUAACUGCGGACGACAGACUACAAGAAACUCUUAUAUGAAAUUAUAACUUAUGAGAGAAAGGUGCCAAAUACACCAUAUAAACUAUUACCUAUGCAUUUACCUUGUUAACAUAUCAUAUAAGCACUUACGAGUAGGUCAUCAUUAUAAGGGCCUGGUGAUUUGCCUAAGCGAAGCCCUGUGCCUACUUUUAAUACAAAUAAUCAUAUGAUGGCCUACCAAGGGCAUUUUUAUGUCAUGCGUAUGACAUGCGUUACUUAGAUGUCCCUGACUAUGAUUUUACACGUAUAAUUGUAAUCGUGGUCUGAUAUAGGUUACGCCCCUCCUUAGGAACUCACUAUAAGGGUCUGCCCGCAGGCCAUAUAUGCCAUAUGUUGGCUCUAGCCAGGGGAAUAAGUCCAGCUGAAUCCAAAUGCAAAUGAUGCCACAAGGGUAGGUAUGCCACACAUUCGGGCUCACUAUAGUGGUCUAGUCUCAAUUCUGUGCAAAGAAUUACGUCACACGUGUGCCAAGCCAAACCUAUGAUACCCUCCCGUCGUUAAAUUUUAUUAAAUAGUGCUUAGUGGGCCUAUGCAAGUAUAUAUUAAGGUAAAUAUUGCUUAGUUAUUCGAGUAAUGCUUUCCAUAUAUAAUUGACUUCUUUGGUAGUAUCGAACCAUUACAAUGCUUGUACUUUAUAUCAUCAUAUGACUAUAUCUCUAUGUGAUAUAAUAUAUUAAUAGGACUAUAGUAUGAUCAUAUAUUCUAAUUUAUAGCAUACGGAGAUAUACUAGGUGACUUCUAAGAAUCCCUAUUAAAGAUGAACCAACUCUAUAGAUACUUGACUUGAUGGGAGUAGUACAAAUGUUUUGACCUCACCAAAUUGAUGCAAGAAGCAUGAAUAUGCGUAAUUUCAAAUGAAAAGGAUACAUGGUCACGUGUACGCAUAUAGAAACUGAAAACUCUCUUCACCUAUAUCAAGUAAACUAUCUCGGCUAUUUUAGGAGGAACAAAUGAUUACAGGUGGUGCCUUAAACGCGAAGAAGGUUUUAGCUUUACAUACCUUUGAUAUCUUCCUAGCUAACGGUAAGACCACAAGUAUCAAAUAAUUCAUCUCGCGGAAGUGUCACCUUUGUUUUGCCAACUGCUAAUUUUCACAAUUCGAUAGCUAAUUAGGUUACUGUUUUAAUAUUUCAAAAUCACUUCUGAAAAAAAUCAUUUACCUUUCCCCCUUUACAACCCGAAUCUAUGGUGUUUUAGUGGAGUUUGCCGAUUGGAGUAGUAGUUGAGUUCCGGCGGCAGUUAACUCACCGGUGACGGUUGAACCAGUGGAGAAAGAGAACGGAGAGAGGGAGAAAAGGGGCAGCACAAUUAUCUGGAGCAACGAGGGGAUGAAGAGAAGAGGAAAGGAGGUGGCACCGGUGGGUGUCUCGUCGGCAGGUGGUGGUUGUUAUCGUUGGGAGCUAUGUCAUAAUAAUAGGGAGAGAACAGAUAAAGAAGAGAGAAAC
rnacentral:lncRNA from 1 species